UUCAGAAGAAACACUAUGGCCAUGAAUGGCUGAUGCACUAUUUGCUUCCAUGGAAAUCAUUUCAAAGUCUCUGUCAGAAGAACUGAAUGAUUGCCUGCUUUGAUGAAAGUCAGACCAGAAAGAAUGUCCUUUCUGUUGGCUCCAAAAAGGACUUUGUCCAAACCUCCUCUGUUCUCCGCUUCGUCCAAAGGUUGCUACAAUAUUUCCAGCUGUGUAUACCUCCUGGGAUCAUAAUAGAAAUGAGCCUCUACUCGCCCUGAAUUCCUUCUUGUGCGAGAUCCAAGAACCCUCUCUUGGGGUUCUAGAUCCAGACCUUUUUCUGGUAACAUCUUCCUGGCCACCACGGAAGGAACAAUACUAAGGAAACCUUCCAACCAAAGGCUAACUUUGGAGCACUGAGUGUGCCAGUCAAGCCCUUGAUGGCUUCAGCAAGUAGAAACCUGACUGCUGCCUGCAGAGGAUGACUGUGUGUCCCUGGGCCAUUUGUCAGUCCCUCCCAGGGUGCUUGUAGGUAAGGAGGAGCUCCUGAAUCACAGUCCAUUUUGCAGAUUGAUUUUCUAUUUCAGAUCAACACUGCCAAAGAAAGUUAGGUUCUACCUGAGAUUAUAAGCCCUUCAUAAUGUAUGACCUGAUUUAUAUCACCUCCUCAUAAUACAAUGCCCCCUUUAAUAAACACUUCUUCUCCCACAUAUAGGAUUCAUAUCCAAAUAUUUAGGUCACAUUCAAAUUUAAAAAUAAAAACAACAUGAUUUUAUAUUUCAUCUUCUGAAACCUCUUAGGAGCAAAAUC